GUGACGAUGAGGACGCCCAGGAUGGCUUGCACGAGACCCAGGACCAGCAGGACCUGCAGCCAGCUGCCCGUGGACUGCACACCGACCCCGUCCUGGGUCCUGCUCAGCAUCCGGGGAGCGGGACAUGCACCCGGUCCCUGCCCUGUCCCCUCCCAGCGCUCAGCAGACUGCUACAAACACCCCUGAGCCUCUGAACAGACUGGGAGUGACAUAGGAGUCCCACAGCCUCAGCGUGGGGCUGGGCACAGGGACAGGAUCUGCCCCUGCUGCCUCAGGAGGCAGGUGAG